rnacentral:rRNA from 1 species
GAUGAACGCUGGCGGCGUGCCUAAUACAUGCAAGCCGAGCGAACGGACGAGGAGCUUGCUUCUCUGAUGUUAGCGGCGGACGGGUGAGUAACACGUGGAUAACCUACCUAUAAGACUGGGAUAACUUCGGGAAACCGGAGCUAAUACCGGAUAAUAUUUUGAACCGCAUGGUUCAAAAGUGAAAGACGGUCUUGCUGUCACUUAUAGAUGGAUCCGCGCUGCAUUAGCUAGUUGGUAAGGUAACGGCUUACCAAGGCAACGAUGCAUAGCCGACCUGAGAGGGUGAUCGGCCACACUGGAACUGAGACACGGUCCAGACUCCUACGGGAGGCAGCAGUAGGGAAUCUUCCGCAAUGGGCGAAAGCCUGACGGAGCAACGCCGCGUGAGUGAUGAAGGUCUUCGGAUCGUAAAACUCUGUUAUUAGGGAAGAACAUAUGUGUAAGUAACUGUGCACAUCUUGACGGUACCUAAUCAGAAAGCCACGGCUAACUACGUGCCAGCAGCCGCGGUAAUACGUAGGUGGCAAGCGUUAUCCGGAAUUAUUGGGCGUAAAGCGCGCGUAGCGGUUUUUUAAGUCUGAUGUGAAAGCCCACGGCUCAACCGUGGAGGGUCAUUGGAAACUGGAAAACUUGAGUGCAGAAGAGGAAAGUGGAAUUCCACGUGUAGCGGUGAAAUGCUCAGAGAUAUGGAGGAACACCAGUGGCGAAGGCGACUUUCUGGUCUGUAACUGACGCUGAUGUGCGAAAGCGUGGGGAUCAAACAGGAUUAGAUACCCUGGUAGUCCACGCCGUAAACGAUGAGUGCUAAGUGUUAGGGGGUUUCCGCCCCUUAGUGCUGCAGCUAACGCAUUAAGCACUCCGCCUGGGGAGUACGACCGCAAGGUUGAAACUCAAAGGAAUUGACGGGGACCCGCACAAGCGGUGGAGCAUGUGGUUUAAUUCGAAGCAACGCGAAGAACCUUACCAAAUCUUGACAUCCUUUGACAACUCUAGAGAUAGAGCCUUCCCCUUCGGGGGACAAAGUGACAGGUGGUGCAUGGUUGUCGUCAGCUCGUGUCGUGAGAUGUUGGGUUAAGUCCCGCAACGAGCGCAACCCUUAAGCUUAGUUGCCAUCAUUAAGUUGGGCACUCUAAGUUGACCGCCGGUGACAAACCGGAGGAAGGUGGGGAUGACGUCAAAUCAUCAUGCCCCUUAUGAUUUGGGCUACACACGUGCUACAAUGGACAAUACAAAGGGCAGCGAAACCGCGAGGUCAAGCAAAUCCCAUAAAGUUGUUCUCAGUUCGGAUUGUAGUCUGCAACUCGACUACAUGAAGCUGGAAUCGCUAGUAAUCGUAGAUCAGCAUGCUACGGUGAAUACGUUCCCGGGUCU